AGCUCCAAUAGCGUAUACUAAUGCUGUUGCAGUUAAAAGCUCGUAGUCGGAUUUCAGUUCGAGCCAGGUUCCCAAUCAAUUAGGGUUCUUUGCUCGUUCUUACUUAACAGAAACAUUCAUGUCAUUCAUUUGAUGUGUUUUGCGACUGUUUCUUUUACUUUGAGAAAAUUAGAGUGUUCAAAGCAGGUUCUCGCCUGAAUAUUACUCUUGGAAUAAUGUUAUAGGACUUUGGUUCCUGUUUGUUGGUGACGUGGACCAGAGUAAUGAUUGAUAGGGACGGUUGGGGUCAUUAGUACCACAAAGUUAGAGGUGAAAUUCUUUGAUCUCUGUGUGACUAACAACUGCGAAAGCAUUUGACUAGGACGUUCCCG
rnacentral:rRNA from 1 species